rnacentral:tRNA from 1 species
GUUGUGGCUCAAAGGUAGAGCGCUUGCCUAGCAUGCGGGAGGCACUGGGUUUGAUCCUCAGCACCACA